rnacentral:rRNA from 1 species
GACGAACGCUGGCGGCGUGCUUAACACAUGCAAGUCGAACGGAAAGGCCCUGCUUUUGUGGGGUGCUCGAGUGGCGAACGGGUGAGUAACACGUGAGUAACCUGCCCUUGACUUUGGGAUAACUUCAGGAAACUGGGGCUAAUACCGGAUAGGAGCUCCUGCUGCAUGGUGGGGGUUGGAAAGUUUCGGCGGUUGGGGAUAGACUCGCGGCUUAUCAGCUUGUUGGUCGGGUAGUUGCUUACCAAGGCUUUGACGGGUAGCCGGCCUGAGAGGGUGACCGGCCACAUUGGGACUGAGAUACGGACCAGAAUCCUACGGGAGGCAGCAGUGGGGAAUAUUGCACAAUGGGCGGAAGCCUGAUGCAGCAACGCCGCGUGCGGGAUGACGGCCUUCGGGUUGUAAACCGCUUUCGCCUGUGACGAAGCGUGAGUGACGGUAAUGGGUAAAGAAGCACCGGCUAACUACGUG